CGGCGACUUAUAGUUAGUGGCAGGUUAAGGCAGUGAAUGCUGUAGCCAUAGUGAAAGCGAGCCUGAAUAGGGCGUUUGUCUCUAAUUAUAGACCCGAACCCGGAUGAUCUAACCAUGGUCAGGUUGAAGCUUAGGUAAUACUAAGUGGAGGACCGAACCGACUGAUGUUGAAAAAUCAGCGGAUGAACUGUGGUUAGGGGUGAAAUGCCAAUCGAAUUCGGAGCUAGCUGGUUCUCCCCGAAAUGCGUUUUGGCGCAGCGGUAAAUGUUAUAAUUUAGGGGUAAAGCACUGUUACGUAUGCGGGCUGGUAAUUCGGUACCAAAUCGUUGCAAACUAAGAAUACUAAAUGUAUAGUUUACCAGUGAGACUGUGGGGGAUAAGCUCCAUUGUCAAGAGGGAAACAGCCCAGAGCACCAGUUAAGGCCCCAAAAUAAUUGCUAAGUGAUAAAGGAGGUGGGAGUGCAUAAACAAUCAGGAGGUUUGCUUAGAAGCAGCAAUCCUUUAAAGAGUGCGUAAUAGCUCACUGAUCGAGUAAACCUGCGCCGAAAAUGUAUGGGACUAAGUAAUUUGCCGAAACUGUGCGAUAUAUUUCAAGAUUAAUAUAUCGGUAGGGGAGCGUUCUGUUGUAGAUCGAAGUAUUAGCGUAAGCGGAUAUGGACGAAGCAGAAGUGAGAAUGUCGGCUUGAGUAACGAAAAUAUAGGUGGGAAUCCUAUACCCCGAAAACCCAAGGUUUCCUCCGGAAGGCUCGUCCGCGGAGGGUAAGUCAGGACCUAAGGCGAGGCUGAAAAGCGUAGUCGAUGGACAACGGGUUAAUAUUCCCGUACCAUUUUUUAUUGACAUCGAGGGACGGAGAAGGCUAAGCUAGCCGGAUAUUGGUUACCGGUUUAAGCGUUCGAGAUGUAGAGAAACGGUGAAAACGUUUUGAGUUAAGGCGCGAAUACGAGAUGCUACGGCGUUGAAGUAGUCUAUGUCAUGCUUCCAAGAAAAGCUUGCACUGUCAUAAAUAAAAAAUGCCUGUACCAUAACCGACACAGGUGGGUAGGUAGAGUAUACUAAGGGGCGCGAGAUAACUCUCUCUAAGGAACUCGGCAAAAUAACUCCGUAACUUCGGGAGAAGGAGUGCCUUAUUUAUAUAAGGUUGCAAUAACAAGAUCCAAGCAACUGUUUACCAAAAACACAGGUCUCCGCUAAGUCGUAAGACGAUGUAUGGGGGCUGACGCCUGCCCAGUGCCAGAAGGUUAAAGAAGUUGGUUAGUGUAUGCGAAGCUGAUAACUGAAGCCCUGGUGAACGGCGGCCGUAACAAUAACGGUCCUAAGGUAGCGA
rnacentral:rRNA from 9 species